rnacentral:rRNA from 1 species
UACGUAGGGUGCGAGCGUUGUCCGGAUUUAUUGGGCGUAAAGAGCUCGUAGGCGGUUUGUCGCGUCGGCCGUGAAAUCUCCACGCUUAACGUGGAGCGUGCGGUCGAUACGGGCAGACUUGAGUUCGAUAGGGGAGACUGGAAUUCCUGGUGUAGCGGUGAAAUGCGCAGAUAUCAGGAGGAACACCGGUGGCGAAGGCGGGUCUCUGGGCCGAUACUGACGCUGAGGAGCGAAAGCGUGGGGAGCGAACAGG